CCUCUCUUCUAUCCAAAAUCAAAAUCAUUUCAUUUAUUUUGAUUUUCCUUCAUUUCAUCCUUGGAGUACAUAAGCCUAAAUUUUGUUCGUUGUACUUGUGUUUUGGAGUGCUACAAACACAAGUGUAGCCGUUGUAUCUUGGGAGUCGAUUGUCGAAAUCCGUAGGCACCGUUGCAGGGCAAAUUCGACUUAAGGACAAAGAGUCCAACUCUUGCCUCGGCUUUGUCCCUACUUUCUUCUUCUUCUUGUUUGUGUUUUCUUUGCCG
rnacentral:lncRNA from 1 species